AUUGAACGCUGGCGGCAGGCUUAACACAUGCAAGUCGAGCGAGCGGCGGACGGGUGAGUAAUGUCUGGGAAACUGCAUGAUGGAGGGGGAUAACUACUGGAAACGGUAGCUAAUACCGCAUACUAUCAGAUCUGCCCAGAUGGGAUUAGCUGGUAGGUGGGGUAACGGCUCACCUAGGCGACGAUCCCUAGCUGGUCUGAGAGGAUGACCGGCCAAACUGGAACUGGGACACGGUCAAGACUCCUACGUGAGGCGGCAGUGGGGAAUAUUGCACAAUGGGCGCAAGCCUGCUGCAGCCAUGCCGCGUGUGUGAAGAAGGCCUUCGGGUUGUAAAGCACUUUCAGCGGGGAGGCGUUACCCGCAGAAGAAGCACCGGCUAACUCCGUGCCAGCAGCCGCGGUAAUUC
rnacentral:rRNA from 1 species